rnacentral:rRNA from 1 species
GAUUAGAGUUUGAUCAUGGCUCAGAUUGAACGCUGGCGGCAGGCCUAACACAUGCAAGUCGAGCGGAUGAAAGGGGCUUGCUCCUGGAUUCAGCGGCGGACGGGUGAGUAAUGCGCAGGAAUCUACCUAGUAGUGGGGGAUAACGUUUCGAAAGGGGCGCUAAUACCGCAUACGUUCUGAGGAAGAAAGCAGGGGAUCGUAAGACCUUGCGCUAUUAGAUGAGCUUGCGUCCGAUUAGCUAGUUGGUGGGGUAAAGGCCUACCAAGGCGACGAUCGGUAACUGGUCUGAGAGGAUGAUCAGUCACACUGGGACUGAGACACGGUCCAGACUCCUACGGGAGGCAGCAGUGGGGAAUAUUGGACAAUGGGGGCAACCCUGAUCCAGCCAUGCCGCGUGUGUGAAGAAGGCCCUCGGGUUGUAAAGCACUUUAAGCGGGGAGGAAGGCCUGAUGGUUAAUACCCAUUGGGAUGACGUACCCGCAGA